rnacentral:rRNA from 1 species
UACGUAGGGUGCGAGCGUUGUCCGGAAUUACUGGGCGUAAAGAGCUCGUAGGUGGUUUGUCGCGUUGUCCGUGAAAACUCACAACUCAAUUGUGGGCGUGCGGGCGAUACGGGCAGACUGGAGUACUGCAGGGGAGACUGGAAUUCCUGGUGUAGCGGUGAAAUGCGCAGAUAUCAGGAGGAACACCGAUGGCGAAGGCAGGUCUCUGGGCACUACUGACGCUGAGAAGCGAAAGCACGGGGAGCGAACAGG